rnacentral:misc_RNA from 1 species
CUGAAGUUUUGGCCGCAAGGCCACUCUUCCACCCUUUGUUUAUAACAUCUUUGUUGCUUUGGCGGGCCGCCCUAGGCCACCGGCGUCAGCUGGUGCGCGCCCGCCAGAGGCCCAAACAACCUGUUUUAUAGUGUUUGUCUGAGUAAAACUUAUUGUUA